GCACUUUUAGUUUAAUGGUAAAACAGUUCUCUGAUAAAGAACAGACCGAUGGUUCGAUUCCAUCAGAGUGCA
rnacentral:tRNA from 4 species